rnacentral:rRNA from 1 species
UACGACUACAUAUCAGGCAUAUCAAUAAGCGGAGGAAAAGAAACUAACAAGGAUUCCCUUAGUAACGGCGAGUGAAGCGGGAAGAGCUCAAAUUUGAAAUCUUCAAGGUUGUACCUUGACGAAUUGUAGUUUAAAGAAGUGUUUUCUGUUGAAGUUUUGGUAAAAGUUCUUUGGAAUAGGACAUCAUAGAGGGUGAGAAUCCCGUAUUUGACCAUUAUUUCCAGCUUUGUGAUACACUUUCAAAGAGUCGGAUUGUUUGGGAAUGCAGUCCAAAAUGGGUGGUAAAUUUCAUCUAAAACUAAAUAUUGGCGAGAGACCGAUAGCGAACAAGUACCGUGAGGGAAAGAUGAAAAGAACUUUGAAAAGAGAGUUAAACAGUACGUGAAAUUGUCAAAAGGGAAGCGUUUGACACCAGUGUUGUUUUUCUCGAAAAUCAAUUACAAAUGGCUGGAUUCUGUGUUGUAUUGCCUUAUCAGCUUUCUGCACUUUUUCUAGUCUUUCUUAAUGCACUUUUCGUUUAACAAGUCAACAUCAAUUUCUUUUGUUGUAAAAGGAGUAUUCGGAAGGUGGCUUUCUUUUCGGAGAAAGUGUUUAUAGCCCUAUACUUCUACAAUCGGAGAGAUUGAGGUCUGCAGCGUAGAUCCUUCGGGGUUAGAUACAUUUGUGCUAAGUUAUAGCCUUUCAUAGACAACUUGUUGACUAUGAUUAGUCAUGCAGCUUACUCGCUUAUGCUAUUUUACCUACGCUUAGGAUGUUGAGCGCAUGUCUCUCUCU